rnacentral:lncRNA from 1 species
GUCCGGUAUGCAAAGCAUCUUUCCUGGCCACUCCGGUAAUCUUUGCAGCCUCAGCCUCAUCAACUCUGCUUCAUGCUGUUCAGGUCAAUGGAAAACAAUUAGAUAACGCAAUCAACAGGCUGGAGAGAAGAAGUUUGGUUUGGAGUGAGAAUCUCUGUGCAGUUAGCAAAAUACAGUUACACUAAUUUAUAUUGCUUGUAUUCCAUCUGCUUUCUGGUUUAAAACGUCUUGGAUUGCCUCAGACUCUGUAUAUGUAAUAUUUUCCAUUUACA